rnacentral:rRNA from 1 species
UACGAAGGGGGCUAGCGUUGUUCGGAAUUACUGGGCGUAAAGCGCGCGCAGGCGGUCUUCCAAGUCAGUGGUGAAAGCCCGGAGCUCAACUCCGGAACUGCCAUUGAAACUGUGAGACUUGAGUACGGGAGAGGAGAGUGGAAUUCCCAGUGUAGAGGUGAAAUUCGUAGAUAUUGGGAAGAACACCGGUGGCGAAGGCGGCUCUCUGGACCGUAACUGACGCUGAGGCGCGAAAGCGUGGGGAGCAAACAGG